rnacentral:rRNA from 1 species
GAUGAACGCUAGCUACAGGCUUAACACAUGCAAGUCGCGGGGCAGCAUGUUACUGGCUUGCCAGUAAUGAUGGCGACCGGCGCACGGGUGAGUAUCGCGUAUCCAACUUUCCCUACUAUCCACCGGGAGUAGCCUGCCGAAAGGACAGAUUAAUACCGUAUGUUGUCGCACGCUGGCAUCAAAAUAGCGACGAAAGGACUUAGCGGAUAUGGAUGGGGAGUGCGUCCGAUUAGCUUGACGGCGGGGUAAC